GAGGACGCAGAGCUGCAGCCGGGCGCAGACGCGCGAAUGGAUAAGACUCAAAGAUAAUCAAUGCACAAGGUAGAGUGGGAGUUAAGAGUGCAGACCCUGGAAAAGAUCUGAAAAGACACCUUGCUAAGGAAAACAUACAAGAAGCCAGUAAACAUCAGCAAAAACGGUGCAUGGAUAAUUGGAGUACCUCUUCACAAUGGAUUCUACCCAGGUAAAAAAAGCAAAGAACGACUCUUGAUACAGCACACAGGUGAGUCUCAUAAACACUAUGCUCAGGAAGGAAGCCAGACACUGCUUAGGAAUAACUCCACUAGCCCUUUAAGCCCAGCUGAGCUGGGUCUUUGGUUACAGUUAGCUGACAGCAUCUCAGGACAGGAGGGCACUGCAUUUGGG
ensembl:lncRNA